rnacentral:rRNA from 1 species
AUGGAUCCCACCAAAUCCAGCACCCCGCCGCCGCCCCCCGUCCUGGGCGCGCCCGUCGGCUACCCGCCGGGGGCGUACCCUCCUCCGCCGGGCGCCCCCGCGGCCGCCUACCCGCCGCAGCUCUACGCGCCGCCGGGCGCCGCCGCCGCCCAGCAGGCCGCGGCGCAGCAGCAGCAGCAGCUGCAGGUGUUCUGGGCGGAGCAGUACCGCGAGAUCGAGGCCACCACCGACUUCAAGAACCACAACCUCCCGCUGGCCCGGAUCAAGAAGAUCAUGAAGGCCGACGAGGACGUCCGCAUGAUCGCCGCCGAGGCCCCCGUCGUCUUCGCCCGCGCCUGCGAGAUGUUCAUCCUCGAGCUCACCCACCGCGGCUGGGCGCACGCCGAGGAGAACAAGCGCCGCACGCUCCAGAAGUCCGACAUUGCGGCCGCCAUCGCCCGCACCGAGGUCUUCGACUUCCUCGUGGACAUCGUGCCCCGGGACGACGCCAAGGACGCCGAGGCGGCCGCCGCCGCGGCCAUGGCCACGGCGGCGGCCGGGAUCCCGCGCCCUGCCGCCGGCGUGCCCACCACCGACCCGAGUAUGGCGUACUACUAUGUCCCCCAGCAGUAA